rnacentral:rRNA from 1 species
CAGUAGCCGCGGUAAUACGAGGGGGGCAAGCGUUGUUUGGAAUUAUUGGGCGUAAAGGGUGCGUAGGCGGUUUGGCAAGUUUGGUGUGAAAUCUUCGGGCUCAACUCGAAGUCUGCAUCGAAAACUGCCGGGCUUGAGUAUGGGAGAGGUGAGUGGAAUUUCCGGUGUAGCGGUGAAAUGCGUAGAUAUCGGAAGGAACAUCUGUGGCGAAGGCGACUAUCUGGGCCAACACUGACACUGAGGCACGAAAGCGUGGGGAUCAAACAGGAUUAGAUACCCCCGUAGUCCCUGUCUCUUAUAA